AGGGAAUAUUGCGCAAUGGAGGGAACUCUGACGCAGCGACGCCGCGUGAGCGAUGAAGGUUUUCGGAUCGUAAAGCUCUGUCCUUGGGGAAGAAGGUCUUCGGACUUGACGGUACCUAAGGAGGAAGCCCCGGCUAACUACGUGCCAGCAGCCGCGGUAAUACGUAGGGGGCAAGCGUUGUCCGGAAUUAUUGGGCGUAAAGGGUGCGUAGGCGGCCUUUUAAGUCAGGUGUGAAAGCCCACGGCUUAACCGUGGGAUUGCAUUUGAAACUGGAAGGCUUGAGUAUCGGAGAGGGUAGUGGAAUUCCCAGUGUAGCGGUGGAAUGCGUAGAUAUUGGGAGGAACACCAGUGGCGAAGGCGACUACCUGGACGAAAACUGACGCUGAGGCACGAAAGCUAGGGGAGCAAAC
rnacentral:rRNA from 1 species